UUGCAUAGUAAAAAUCUAACUUACUUUUAAUCUGAAUUGAUUCAACAUUCUCACGUAAUUCGAAUUCUUGGAUGCCAUUGAAGAAGAUGAAGAAGAAGAAAAAAAAAAUGUCAUUGAUGAGUUCUUGGAUGUCAUUGAAGAAGAAGAAUAAGAAGAAGAAGAAUUGAAGAAAAAGAAAGAAAAAUAAUAAUUAUAAUAGAAGAAGAAGAAGCUGAAGAAAAAAUGUCAUUGAUGAGUUGUUAGAUGCCAUCGAAGAAGAGAGUGUGUUUCGCUCUCUUGCCAUGUCAGUGUUGGGGGUAAUAAUUCUAUUUUAAAAUAAUUCAGGGGAUUAUAGGACCCUUACAAAGAAUAAAUAUGUAGUUGACAUUUGAAGUAAAUAUUGUGGGGCUUUUGAUUAUUUUCUCUUUUUUUAAAAAUAUUUUAAUUAUAAAUGUAAUAUUUUAUUAAAAAAUUAACUUGAUUGAUGAUAUUUUAGAAUUUCAAAUCUGGGUAUUAUCAAUAUAUUCAUUUAAUACUUAAGGGUAAAAAAAAUAUAAUAUUUUUUUUUAAUUUUAUAAAUUAGAUAAUUCAUGGGCUAAGUAAAUGAAAGGGAGGGAAUAAUAUAUACAAAACUUAUAUUAGUAUAUGUUGUCCGAUUUUCAAACUUUUUGAAAGGAAACGAAUGAAGAAGAAAUUAAGGAGAUUCGACGUACAUUAUUCAUGCAAAAAUAUAAAUUUAGGCCUAGCUAUUUUUAUCUCUCCAAAUACAAUUGUCAAGAUUAAUGCUCGGCCGACCAUGAGUAUUUCUUAUUUUUUUCAUGAGUUGAAUUUGAAAUCAUGUUUGUCAAUAAAAAUAAAUUGAAAAAUAAAACUUCAACUUUAAGUUCAAUUUCUAAAUUUUUCGAAAUUUGCAAAAAAGAUGUUUUUACUUCAAAACUUUCUAAUCUUUUUAAAAAUAUAAAGGAACUCACACCCUUCUCCUUUUCAAAUCAACCGUGUCUCUCCUCUCUCUCGACAGUCUCUCACAACUCUCUCCCAACCAAUAGUUUUACAAAAUUUCUAUCUUCAAUCCACGACGACUUCAAGCUCCGACGACAAAUAGCUGGGUGAGUUCCUUUUCGACUUUCAACCGUCAAUCAACGUGACAAGCAGCGUUCUCCGGCAACAACAACUUCGAGUUCUUCGUCGUCCCAUUUCUUCUUUCACAAAUAAAAAAUUAUGUUUUUUUAGUUAUGAAGAAAAAGAGGAACUUGAGCCACUUUCUUCUAGUAUUGGUUAACAAUUUCAAUAUUUCUGGGAGAAAAUACUCAAUUACCCUUCUGAACUAUACUCAAAAGGGCUAUG
rnacentral:lncRNA from 1 species